AUGCCAUUAACUUCGAGUUCCACAUUAUCUCCUCCCAAGAGGACCCCGGCGCACCACCCCGCGUGCUGUGUUUUGAUUUCAACUUGUUUCAGGAGAAGGCGGUCGUCCGCCUCAUCUCGUCGGACAACAGCAUCAAGUCCAAGUGCCGGAAGUUCCCUGGCACCGGGAGCGAGGUCACUGGCAAGAUGGUGA
rnacentral:rRNA from 1 species